GGGUCCAUAGCUCAGCUGGAUAGAGCAACAGCCUUCUAAGCUGUGGGUCGAGGGUUCGAAUCCCCCUGGGCUCACCA
rnacentral:tRNA from 1 species